rnacentral:rRNA from 1 species
UGGGGAAUUUUGGACAAUGGGGGCAACCCUGAUCCAGCAAUGCCGCGUGAGUGAAGAAGGCCUUCGGGUUGUAAAGCUCUUUUGUCAGGGAAGAAACGGUAGUAGCGAAUAACUAUUACUAAUGACGGUACCUGAAGAAUAAGCACCGGCUAACUACGUGCCGGCAGCCGCGGUAAUACGUAGGGUGCAAGCGUUAAUCGGAAUUACUGGGCGUAAAGCGUGCGCAGGCGGUUGUGUAAGUCAGAUGUGAAAUCCCCGGGCUCAACCUGGGAAUUGCAUUUGAGACUGCACGGCUAGAGUGUGUCAGAGGGGGGUAGAAUUCCACGUGUAGCAGUGAAAUGCGUAGAUAUGUGGAGGAAUACCGAUGGCGAAGGCAGCCCCCUGGGAUAACACUGACGCUCAUGCACGAAAGCGUGGGGAGCAAACAGGAUUAGAUACCCCCGUAGUCCCUGAGCGGGCUGGCAAGGCGCAU